ensembl:lncRNA
AUUAUGGCUUUCCUGGUUAAUUUAAAAAUACCUUGGCUGUUUUCUUAAUCUCAGUUUUAUGCUUCUAAUUAUUUCUCAUUUACCACUACAGUGCAGCUUCUAAAAGGCAAAACUAGUAUUUGUUACAGUUAAGAAUCUUACUAAGAUUCCAGAUAGGGAUUUAAUUCUUUUAACUUGGAAGCAGGAUGUAUGUUUAUUUGAUUUGUCUCUGCUCUCUUCUUUUAUGUAUUAUACUACAGUUGCACUUAACUGCUGGUAGUAUGUGAAUGUGUAAUGCUCUCUUAUGGAUCGAAAAAUUACUAAUUUCUGCUCCUGUUGGGAAAGCCUCUUCUACCAUUUUACCUGGUGAAUAUCUAUCUAAUGGCUUCUAUAAUUUAAGUCAAAUAAAGCCUCUAUUGGGAAUUUCCAGUCCUGCUUGGCAUCUUCAUUCAGGCAGCCUUCCCCCUUACCCAUUCAGAAUCUUAUUUUACAUAGGGAGUAUGGUAAUGCACUUCCCAACUAGUUAUUUAGCUAUCACUUAAAAUCCAAUAAAUUAUGGAAUUUUAAUAAGUAAAAUAGUAACAUAUUAUGCUAUAUAAUUUCAUUAGUAUCAAGAAAUAAAAAGAAAAAAAUUUAAAAUAACACUGAAAUAGACCUCCAAGUAUAUUGUUUUACUUGGAAACAAUGACAUCAGAUAUUUUUGUCUGUGUCUAUAUAAUCAAGAAAAAUAAGAUAAUUUUUUGUUUUGUUCUUGUGGUUCUGGGGAUUGAACCCAGGGCCUCACACAUGCCAGCCAAAUACUCCUGUACCAUAUAACCAGUCCUAAAUAAAGCUGUUUUGAGAACUAUAUGGCAGCCAUACUAGGGAUAUAAAGAAAUACCUAAAAGGAGAAAUACUAAUAUUUAAUACUGCAAAUAAAAACUGAUGAUAUUAGAAAACACAGAUAAAAAUACUAGGCAUUGCUUUUCAAAUUCUGACCAUGCAAUUGUGUUUAAAUAAGCAAAUCUACUCAGUAUAAAAAAUUAAUCCCAAGUGACAGAGAAGAAAAUAUAUAAUAAUAGGGGGAAAAUCAUUGCAGAAAAUCUAAGUUGCCCAGUUUUCUAUUGGGGGAACAGGAGAAAAAGAAACACAAAAAAAUAACCAAGAAAAAAAAAUCAGUAAUGCCAGUUAAAGAGGCCUGUUCUUUUCAGACACAUUUUUAAGAGUGUUGGGGUGGCACUGAGUAUAGGUAAGGUUGUGUGAGAUUUAAUGAAUGGGCUAAUUGAAGUGAAUCAGUAACUUAAUAUUCUUUAGUUUGCUUAAUAAAUCUUACUGAGUGCCAAUGAGAAUGGGAGAAAAACACCUAUAACAAAACUUGAGAAUGAUGGGUUAAAUGGUAAUCUUUAUAGGGUGAACUAAUGAUAGUUAAGGAAGUGAUUACUAAAAAGGACUAAUUACUUUAAAAAUAAAAUGACUUGGUCUCUCUAAACUCAGAGGUAAUGGCUUAUUCUUUCUCAGAGAAUGAUUGGCUUUAGGCACAAAAUAAUAUUUAGUGAGGUCCUGACAAGGUAUUUUAUCCUAUGACCUUAAUUAAGAUCAUUGUGAAAUACAUUGAACUUUUUUCACCCUUUCUCUAUUACAUUUUAAAGAUAUAAAUACAUUAAAUGUGAACUAAAAUUUUCAAUGACUAGAUGAUAAAAACUAAUGACACAAAUUCCAUCCUCAGUUGGCAAUCUGGAGCUCAAAACAUUUAUUUUUCUCUUUGAUGAAGAAGUAGGAAAGAUAAAAUCUAGACCUUUGUUACCAUGACUUAAAAGCAAUUCAUAAAAUCAUAAGUUUAUGAACAUAUCAUAAGAUAAGUUAUUCUGCAAAAUCAGAACAAUGCUGCACAUUAUUUAAAAACAGAAAAGAGGAGAAAAUAGAAAACUUCCUUAGUGUAAUUAUACAAAAAUCCAAUCUAAUUUGCAACUUAAAUUCCUACUAGCAUAUCCUAUGAAAUGAAAUUUAUUAUAGAUAUUUCCUCUCCGAUUUUACUGUAUCACAAACCACAGGAAUACAUUUUUAAGUCUUCUUUAAAAAUACAAUAAAGAGAAAUUUUCUCCUUUUUCUGUUUUGAAUCUGCCUUCAGAUCAUAGCACUGACACUUUGUGGAACUGAUUUAUAUCAAUUCUAACUGAGGUUUUAACAUUUCAGUUUCAGGUAUGUUUUUCUGGACACUAAUUUUGUUUUCUUUACUGGAAACUUGUUACAGUUUCAAAAUACUAUUCUGUUAAUAAGCUUUCAGUUUCUUCAUGUAAAAUUGAAUUUUCACUUGCUAUAUUUUGCCCCCAAUAACUAGAUUUGCUAACUUUUUAAAUUCAAACUCAGUUUUUACCAUCCUCAUAACCAUUUUUAAGAGGAUGUGGAGUGCGACUUUUCCUUCUAUCCUAGAAUUGUCUUCAAGAACACAAAUAAAGUGCCUUUCAAUAAUUACAUUCUUCAAAGAGUUACAUCAACAAUGUGGACAGAUACUUUUCUGAGAAAAUUGAUCACUUUCUCAACCUAAAUUAUAAAAUCAAAGGGAAAGGAAGAAAUCAAGUGAGUAGGGUAGCCAAGAGAAUCAUUAGUUAAAAAAAAAAAAAAAAAGGAUGGCUGAACAAAGAGCUACCUGGAAUCUUAAUCUCUGAUUCCCAUUGUUGAUCCUUUUUUUUGCAACUGAGAAUGGAGAAUCCAAGAUAGGGGUCAAGGUAGAGAAGUAAGGUCUGGUCAGCUACUUCAAACACAUUUCCUGUGAGUCAAAUGGACACUGAAGGACCACCUUACAUAAACUUCAUCUAACAGGGUUGAGUGAUAAUUAGUGAAAUUCUAUGAAAAAGAAAUGGUAAGAGAUCUGGCACUUUGAUUGUCCCUUCCCAUGUUUAGGAUUAUAAGUAUAAGCAAAUGCGUAAGCAAAUAUGAAUAUGCAGACUCACAUUUUUCUCUUUUACAGAAUUUGGUAUAUAUUAGCAGCAUUCUGUACUUAUUAUUUACACUGAACACACACAUAUAAAGACUCUGAAGAUCAUUUCAUUUUGGUAUUGAUUUUCUUAUUUUUUUUUAUAGAUGAGUAAUACUUUAUUGUACAGAUCUGCCACAGUUCCUCCAAGUGGCAAGUUCCUUCAAGUUCCUUGAUGAAGACAACUUCCAAAAAAGAAAUCGUUUUCCACAGUGGCUACACUAAUCUAUACACCCAUCAACAGUGUGCAAGAGUGAUUUUUCCUCUAUUCACCAGCACUUGUUAUCUACAGUCUCUUUGAUAAUAGCCAUUUUACAAAGUAUGAAGUGAUAUCUUAUUAUGGUUUUAAUUUUCAUGUAUCUGAUGAAUUCUGAUAUUGAACAUUUUUUCAUAUACCUGUUGGCUACUUAUAUGUCUUCUUUUCAGAAAUACCUGUAUAAAUCCUUUCUCCAUUGUUUAGUUGGGCUGUUUCUUACUAUUGUGUUGUUUGAAUUCCUUUUGAAUAUUUUGAUAUUAACCCCUUAUCAGAUGUAUAGUUUGCAAAUAUUUUCUGUGAUUCUGUGGGUUGUAUCUGUACCCUAUUGAUUUAAGAAAUAUUUUUCCUUAAUUUUUUUGGAGGGGAGCAUGAACAAGCUUUUAUUUUGAUAUCAUUUCAUUUGUCUAUUUUUGCUUUUGUUGUCUGUGCUCUGGGGUUCAUAGGCAAAAAAAUCAUCGUCUAGAUCAGUGUCAUGCAACUUUUCUCCUUUGUUUUCUUCUAGUAGUUUUACAGUUAAAUUCUUAAUCUAUUUUGAAUUGAUAUUUGUAUAUGGUGUGAGAUAAGAUCUAAUUUUUUUCUCUGCAUAUAGUUAUCCAGUUGCCCCAACACCAUUUAUUGAAGAUAUUGCCCUUUUCAUAUCAUGUGUUCUUAGUUCCUGUGACAAAGAUUGAUUGUAAAUCUGAAGAUUUACUUCUGGAUCAUAAUUUUAUAUUCAAUGUUGAAUUGGUGUGUGUCUCUGUAUUUAUACAAGUACCAUGAUAUUUUAAUUGCUAUUAGUUUUAUUAUAGAUUUUUAAAUCAGCUAAUAUGAUAUUUUCAACUUUGUUCUAUUCACUUAAAAUAUCUUUGGGAACUUAGAGCACAUAGUUAUUUUCUAUUUCUGAGAAAAAACAUCCUUGUAAUUUUGUUAGGGAUUGCAUUUAAUCUGUUGUUCACUUUCAACAUUAUAUCAUUUUUUUUCAUUUUCAUUUUUUACCAG